GAGUCGUCUGUCCCGAGCUCGCCUGAGGUGAUUCCUGCAUCUCCGGCGACCAUCACGUCUCCGUCACCUUCGCCUCCGCCGGCUCCUGCUGCUGCUCUACGUCCACAUACGCGCAGUCGGAGUGGCAUUUUUCAGCCUAAGCAACGUCACGAUGGCCCAGUUGCUUGGUUAGCGGCGUGCAUGUCUGCUGCUCUCGCAGAUCCAUCCUCUGAGCCACGCACGUAUCAAGCUGCUAUGCGCAUUCCUCAUUGGAGAGAGGCCAUGGAGCAGGAGUAUCAAGCGCUUCUUCGCAAUCAGACAUGGACUCUUGUUCCUCCACAAUCACGGGUAAAUGUCAUUGAUUCCAAAUGG
rnacentral:rRNA from 1 species